rnacentral:SRP_RNA from 1 species
GCCGGGCAUGGUGGCGCGUGCCUGUAAUCCAAGCUACUUGGGAGGCUGAGGCACAAGAAUGGCUUGAGCCCGGGAGGCAGAGGUUGCAGUGAGCCGAGAUUGCACCACUGCACUCUAGCCUGGGUGACAUAGCAAGACUCCGUCUCCA